AUUGAACGCUGGCGGCAUGCCUUACACAUGCAAGUCGAACGGUAACAGGUCUUCGGAUGCUGACGAGUGGCGAACGGGUGAGUAAUACAUCGGAACGUGCCCGAGAGUGGGGGAUAACGAGGCGAAAGCUUUGCUAAUACCGCAUACGAUCUCAGGAUGAAAGCAGGGGACCGCAAGGCCUUGCGCUCACGGAGCGGCCGAUGGCAGAUUAGGUAGUUGGUGGGAUAAAAGCUUACCAAGCCGACGAUCUGUAGCUGGUCUGAGAGGACGACCAGCCACACUGGGAGUGAGACACGGCCCAGACGCCUACGGGAGGCAGCAGUGGGGAAUUUUGGACAAUGGGCGCAAGCCUGAGCCAGCCAUGCCGCGUGCAGGAUGAAGGCCUUCGGGUUGUAAACUGCUUUUGUACGGAACGAAAAGACUCCUUCUAAUAAAGGGGGUCCAUGACGGUACCGUAAGAAUAAGCACCGGCUAACUACGUGCCAGCCGCCGCGGUAA
rnacentral:rRNA from 1 species